rnacentral:tRNA from 1 species
GCGGAGGUGGCGGAACUGGCAGACGCGCCAGACUUAGGAUCUGGUGGGGUAACCUGUGGGGGUUCAACUCCCCCUCUCCGCA